ACUAUUUUGACAGAAAAAAUGUAAUGAUUUUAGAAGUCAUAAAUAUAUAUGAUUUAAAUAUAUAUGUAGUA
rnacentral:tRNA from 1 species